rnacentral:rRNA from 1 species
CAGCAGCCGCGGUAAUACGUAGGGCGCAAGCGUUAUCCGGAAUUAUUGGGCGUAAAGAGCUCGUAGGCGGUUUGUCGCGUCUGCCGUGAAAGUCCGGGGCUCAACCCCGGAUCUGCGGUGGGUACGGGCAGACUAGAGUGAUGUAGGGGAGACUGGAAUUCCUGGUGUAGCGGUGAAAUGCGCAGAUAUCAGGAGGAACACCGAUGGCGAAGGCAGGUCUCUGGGAAUUAACUGACGCUGAAGCACGAAAGCGUGGGGAGCAAACAGGAUUAGAUACCCCGGUAGUCCCUGUCUCUUAUAC